UACCACUAAUGAAUAAAAGUCAGUUAGAAGCCACCAAUACUCAUUCAUACAGUUUCUAUCAAAGACAAUAUUGGAAAUCAAUGAAGGGAACAUCCUCUGUUGUCAAGGGUUACUACCUGAUAGUGUGUUGUACCAGUUAGCGUUUGAUAUGGGCUGGUGUCUCGUUAUAUUCUCCUCUCAUUACAACAUUCACCAAUUAAUGAACUAACUGUUAGUAAAAUAAAUAAAGAGCUAAUGAGCUGGAACAGAAACGCUGAUUGAUUGAUCUAGGUAGCUCUGGCAGUGACAAAGAGAAAAAAGAAACAGAUGAAGCAAUAGUUGACUACUCAGGCUGUGCAUGACACCUGAAGACCUGGAAACUGACUAGACUAAUUAGUACUGCAUUGACUUUCAGUAUUGUCCACACACAACAAAUACAUAUUCAUUCUUGUUUUGGUUUUGAAAGAGGAGCCUGGGAACAGUA